rnacentral:rRNA from 1 species
ACUCCUACGGGAGGCAGCAGUGAGGAAUAUUGGACAAUGGAGGCAACUCUGAUCCAGCCAUGCCGCGUGUAGGAAGACGGCCCUAUGGGUUGUAAACUACUUUUGUACGGGAAGAAAUACAGUCACGUGUGAUUGUUUGACGGUACCGUAAGAAUAAGCACCGGCUAACUCCGUGCCAGCAGCCGCGGUAAUACGGAGGGGUGGCAAGCGUUAUCCGGAAUCAUUGGGGUUUAAAGGGUCCGUAGGCGGGUAAUUAAGUCAGUGGUGAAAUGCAGGGGCUCAACUCCGGCACUGCCAUUGAUACUGGUUAUCUUGAAUUAUUGUGAAGUGGUUAGAAUAUGUAGUGUAGCGGUGAAAUGCUUAGAUAUUACAUAGAAUACCGAUUGCGAAGGCAGAUCACUAACAAUAUAUUGACGCUGAUGGACGAAAGCGUGGGGAGCGAACAGGAUUAGAUACCCUGGUAGGAUAGCG